rnacentral:misc_RNA from 1 species
GAGAUAGUAAGAUUUCUUAUAGAAAAUUGUAGUAAUAAUGAUCCCAUUACCUUUGAAAAUACCCUUUCAACCUCUCAACUUUUUUCUCCUCCUCUCUUCUACGGUUUCAGCCUUAGCUUUGUUCCAGUAGCCAUCCCUUGCCUAAAGAGCAGGGGAUAAUCAAUUUCAGUUUCCUUUUUUAAGUGUGAGAGAUUCCUUUUCUUGUCUUUUUUCAGUCUCUCGUUCCAACUGCCUGUUUAGCGGCUUUUCCCUCUCCGUUUUUUGGGUUGGGUUUAGUUUUAGUUUUAUUUGUGUUUAGAUUAGAUGACUGCAGGUUUUGGGCUCCAACGUGAGGAAUUGGAGCAGAUCGGAAUUUAUGUGUUCAAUUUCUGACUUUUGGGGUUCCCCCGUUGACUGACGUAAUAAAAGGUGUUGGAUCACUGUUUCCAUCAAGGCUACACAAAAAUGAGAACCCUGUGACAGUCACUUCCUGGCUUUGUCCAGCACUAGUCAUAGCCCUUUAUUUUCUUCCAGCGUUAUGAAGGUUUAAUGUAGGGGAGUUAUUUGGAUUUUGGCGGAGCAUUUUGCCUCCCAUUGUUGGUGAUGUUAGUCUCUCCCAUGCAUGUGUGUUUUUCUGGUCAUGCAACUUCUCCUUGGUAGUCUCUACUGAUGAAGGAAGAGGAGAUGAUGGUUGCUACUGAAUUUGGAUUCGGGUCAAACCCGUUUAGAUCUAUGAAUCCAUGUUUGUCAAGGUGUUGAGCCCAACGUUCUUGGCCCUGGGUUUUGAAGGUAUUAUAACAGUGUUCUUUUAAUGGGCUUGACG